rnacentral:rRNA from 1 species
GACAGAGGGUGCAAACGUUGUUCGGAAUUACUGGGCGUAAAGCGCGUGUAGGCGGGCGGGUACGUCGGCGACUGAAAGCCCCCGGCUCAACCGGGGAAGGGGUGCCGAAACGGCCGGCCUGGAGGGGCGUAGGGGGACCUGGAACUUCCGGUGGAGCGGUGAAAUGCGUUGAGAUCGGAAGGAACGCCCGUGGCGAAAGCGAGGUCCUGGACGCCAACUGACGCUGAGACGCGAAAGCCAGGGGAGCGAACGGG